rnacentral:rRNA from 1 species
UUAAGUUAGAAAGGGCGCACGGUGGAUGCCUUGACACUAGGAGUCGAUGAAGGACGGGACUAACGCCGAUAUGCUUCGGGGAGCUGUAAGUAAGCUUUGAUCCGAAGAUUUCCGAAUGGGGAAACCCACCAUACGUAAUGGUAUGGUAUCCUUAUCUGAAUACAUAGGGUAAGGAAGACAGACCCAGGGAACUGAAACAUCUAAGUACCUGGAGGAAGAGAAAGCAAAUGCGAUUUCCUGAGUAGCGGCGAGCGAAACGGAACAUAGCCCAAACCAAGAGGCUUGCCUCUUGGGGUUGUAGGACAUUCUAUACGGAGUUACAAAGGAACGAGGUAGACGAAGCGACCUGGAAAGGUCCGUCGUAGAGGGUAACAACCCCGUAGUCGAAACUUCGUUCUCUCUUGAAUGUAUCCUGAGUACGGCGGAACACGUGAAAUUCCGUCGGAAUCUGGGAGGACCAUCUCCCAAGGCUAAAUACUCCCUAGUGAUCGAUAGUGAACCAGUACCGUGAGGGAAAGGUGAAAAGCACCCCGGAAGGGGAGUGAAAGAGAUCCUGAAACCGUGUGCCUACAAAUAGUCAGAGCCCGUUAACGGGUGAUGGCGUGCCUUUUGUAGAAUGAACCGGCGAGUUACGAUCCCGUGCGAGGUUAAGCUGAAGAGGCGGAGCCGCAGCGAAAGCGAGUCUGAAUAGGGCGUUUAGUACGUGGUCGUAGACCCGAAACCAGGUGAUCUACCCAUGUCCAGGGUGAAGUUCAGGUAACACUGAAUGGAGGCCCGAACCCACGCACGUUGAAAAGUGCGGGGAUGAGGUGUGGGUAGCGGAGAAAUUCCAAUCGAACCUGGAGAUAGCUGGUUCUCCCCGAAAUAGCUUUAGGGCUAGCCUUAAGUGUAAGAGUCUUGGAGGUAGAGCACUGAUUGGACUAGGGGUCCUCAUCGGAUUACCGAAUUCAGUCAAACUCCGAAUGCCAAUGACUUAUCCUUAGGAGUCAGACUGCGAGUGAUAAGAUCCGUAGUCAAAAGGGAAACAGCCCAGACCGCCAGCUAAGGUCCCAAAGUGUGUAUUAAGUGGAAAAGGAUGUGGAGUUGCUUAGACAACUAGGAUGUUGGCUUAGAAGCAGCCACCAUUUAAAGAGUGCGUAAUAGCUCACUAGUCGAGUGACUCUGCGCCGAAAAUGUACCGGGGCUAAAUACACCACCGAAGCUGCGGAUUGAUACCAAUGGUAUCAGUGGUAGGGGAGCGUUCUAAGGACAGUGAAGUCAGACCGGAAGGACUGGUGGAGUGCUUAGAAGUGAGAAUGCCGGUAUGAGUAGCGAAAGACGGGUGAGAAUCCCGUCCAUCGAAUGCCUAAGGUUUCCUGAGGAAGGCUCGUCCGCUCAGGGUUAGUCAGGACCUAAGCCGAGGCCGACAGGCGUAGGCGAUGGACAACAGGUUGAUAUUCCUGUACCACCUCUUUAUCGUUUGAGCAAUGGAGGGACGCAGAAGGAUAGAAGAAGCAUGCGAUUGGUUGUGCACGUCCAAGCAGUUAGGCUGAUAAGUAGGCAAAUCCGCUUAUCGUAAAGGCUGAGCUGUGAUGGGGAAGCUCCUUAUGGAGCGAAGUCUUUGAUUCCCCGCUGCCAAGAAAAGCUUCUAGCGAGAUAAAAGGUGCCUGUACCGCAAACCGACACAGGUAGGCGAGGAGAGAAUCCUAAGGUGUGCGAGAGAACUCUGGUUAAGGAACUCGGCAAAAUGACCCCGUAACUUCGGGAGAAGGGGUGCUUUCUUAACGGAAAGCCGCAGUGAAUAGGCCCAAGCGACUGUUUAGCAAAAACACAGCUCUCUGCGAAGCCGUAAGGCGAAGUAUAGGGGGUGACACCUGCCCGGUGCUGGAAGGUUAAGGAGAGGGGUUAGCGUAAGCGAAGCUCUGAACUGAAGCCCCAGUAAACGGCGGCCGUAACUAUAACGGUCCUAAGGUAGCGAAAUUCCUUGUCGGGUAAGUUCCGACCCGCACGAAAGGUGUAACGAUUUGGGCACUGUCUCAACCAGAGACUCGGUGAAAUUAUAGUACCUGUGAAGAUGCAGGUUACCCGCGACAGGACGGAAAGACCCCGUGGAGCUUUACUGUAGCCUGAUAUUGAAUUUUGGUACAGUUUGUACAGGAUAGGCGGGAGCCUUUGAAACCGGAGCGCUAGCUUCGGUGGAGGCGCUGGUGGGAUACCGCCCUGACUGUAUUGAAAUUCUAACCUACGGGUCUUAUCGACCCGGGAGACAGUGUCAGGUGGGCAGUUUGACUGGGGCGGUCGCCUCCUAAAGUGUAACGGAGGCGCCCAAAGGUUCCCUCAGAAUGGUUGGAAAUCAUUCGUAGAGUGCAAAGGCAUAAGGGAGCUUGACUGCGAGACCUACAAGUCGAGCAGGGACGAAAGUCGGGCUUAGUGAUCCGGUGGUUCCGCAUGGAAGGGCCAUCGCUCAACGGAUAAAAGCUACCCCGGGGAUAACAGGCUUAUCUCCCCCAAGAGUCCACAUCGACGGGGAGGUUUGGCACCUCGAUGUCGGCUCAUCGCAUCCUGGGGCUGUAGUCGGUCCCAAGGGUUGGGCUGUUCGCCCAUUAAAGCGGUACGCGAGCUGGGUUCAGAACGUCGUGAGACAGUUCGGUCCCUAUCCGUCGUGGGCGUAGGAAAUUUGAGAGGAGCUGUCCUUAGUACGAGAGGACCGGGAUGGACGCACCGCUGGUGUACCAGUUGUUCUGCCAAGGGCAUAGCUGGGUAGCUAUGUGCGGAAGGGAUAAGUGCUGAAAGCAUCUAAGCAUGAAGCCCCCCUCAAGAUGAGAUUUCCCAUAGCGUAAGCUAGUAAGAUCCCUGAAAGAUGAUCAGGUUGAUAGGUUCGAGGUGGAAGCAUGGUGACAUGUGGAGCUGACGAAUACUAAUAGAUCGAGGACUUAACCAU